AGGCAAGCUAGAUUGGGGGGUUAGCCGUCCCCUGUAACCAUAAACCGGCUUUACGGUGGGAUCGAAGCUCAGGGAGCGGCAUUUUGCAUGAAUGCCAGGUCCUGGUCUGGACAAUGAAGUGCUGUCCUGCAGGGCUUCUGUUUAUAAGAACCAUGUCAGGUCAGGGAUGAAGCAGCAUUAAUUAUAUUCAAGGGCGCUUACAGGGUCGCAGUGCCAAGAAAGGACUAGGGUUGCCUGCAUUUUUGCAUAUGUCCAUCUUUGGGCAUGCUUGCCU
rnacentral:SRP_RNA from 1 species